CCGAGUGGCGAACGGGUGAGUAACACGUGAGGAACCUGCCCCGAAGACCGGGAUAACCCUCCGAAAGGAGAGCUAAUACCGGAUACCCCACCUGACCGCAUGAUCGGGUGAGGAAAUGGAUUCCGCUUCGGGAGGGCCUCGCGGCCUAUCAGCUAGUUGGUGGGGUAACGGCCCACCAAGGCGUCGACGGGUAGCUGGUCUGAGAGGACGAUCAGCCACACUGGGACUGAGACACGGCCCAG
rnacentral:rRNA from 1 species